AACGAACGCUGGCGGCAGGCUUAACACAUGCAAGUCGAGCGCCCCGCAAGGGGAGCGGCAGACGGGUGAGUAACGCGUGGGAACGUACCCUUUGCUACGGAAUAGCUCCGGGAAACUGGAAUUAAUACCGUAUGUGCCCUACGGGGAAAAGAUUUAUCGGCAAAGGAUCGGCCCGCGUUGGAUUAGCUAGUUGGUGGGGUAAUGGCCUACCAAGGCGACGAUCCAUAGCUGGUCUGAGAGGAUGAUCAGCCACAUUGGGACUGAGACACGGCCCAAACUCCUACGGGAGGCAGCAGUGGGGAAUAUUGGACAAUGGGCGCAAGCCUGAUCCAGCCAUGCCGCGUGAGUGAUGAAGGCCUUAGGGUUGUAAAGCUCUUUCACCGGAGAAGAUAAUGACGGUAUCCGGAGAAGAAGCCCCGGCUAACUUCGUGCCAGCCGCCGCCGUAA
rnacentral:rRNA from 1 species